rnacentral:tRNA from 1 species
GGCCCAGUAGUUCAGUUGGUUAGAACGCCAGCCUGUCACGCUGGAGGCCGAGGGUUCAAGUCCCUUCUGGGUCGCCA